rnacentral:rRNA from 1 species
AUUGAACGCUGGCGGCAGGCCUAACACAUGCAAGUCGAGCGAGCGGCGGACGGGUGAGUAAUGUCUGGGAAACUGCCUGAUGGAGGGGGAUAACUACUGGAAACGGUAGCUAAUACCGCAUACCAUCAGAUGUGCCCAGAUGGGAUUGGCUAGUAGGUGGGGUAACGGCUCACGUAGGCGACGAUCCCUAGCUGGUCUGAGAGGAUGACCAGCCAACCUGGAACUGAGACACGGUCCCGACGCCGACGGGAGGCAGCAGUGGGGAAUGUUGCACAAUGGGCGCAAGCCUGAUGCAGCCAUGCCGCGUGUGAGAAGAAGGCCUUCGGGUUGUAAUGCACGUUCAGCGGGGAGGCGUUACCCGCAGAAGAAGCACCGGCUAACUCCGUGCCAGCCGCCGCGGUAAUUC